rnacentral:tRNA from 3 species
GGAGAGGUGCCGGAGCGGUCGAACGGGCUCGCCUGGAAAGUGAGUGUACGGUAACCCCGUACCGAGGGUUCGAAUCCCUCCCUCUCCGCCA